CGCGUAGGCGGCCGAGCAAGUCUGACGUGAAAUGCACCGGUUCAACCGGGGCGCUGUGUCGGAAACUGCCUGGCUUGAGGUCGAGGGAGGAAGGUGGAAUUCCUGGUGUAGCGGUGAAAUGCGUAGAUAUCAGGAGGAACACCCGUGGCGAAGGCGACCUUCUAUCUCGAUUCUGACGCUGAGGCGCGAAAGCUAGGGGAGCAAACG
rnacentral:rRNA from 1 species